AACACUCUUCGUGCCAACCAUUCGGAGUAGGCUUGCUUAAACGUUUUUUUGAGGACCACGGAGUUGAAGCAGGUUCUCCGCAAGUUAAUCAUCGGAUGCGGUAUUUUUCAAGCCACACACAGAAUGGCUAAUAUUGACGUCCGGAAAACACUCUUCGUGCCAACCAUUCGGAGUAGGCUUGCUUAAACGUUUUUUUGAGGACCACGGAGUUGAAGCAGGUUCUCCGCAAGUUAAUCAUCGGAUGCGGUAUUUUUCAAGCCACACACAGAAUGGCUAAUAUUGACGUCCGGAAAACACUCUUCGUG